UACGGAGGGUGCGAGCGUUAUCCGGAAUCACUGGGUUUAAAGGGUGCGUAGGUGGCUUAAUAAGUCAGCUGUGAAAUGUCUGGGCUUAACCGAGGCAUUGCGGUUGAUACUGUUAGGCUUGAAUCAAGUUGAGGUGGCUAGAAUGUGACAUGUAGCGGUGAAAUGCAUAGAUAUGUCAUAGAAUACCAAUUGCGAAGGCAGGUUGCUAGACUUUGAUUGACACUGAGGCACGAAAGCGUGGGGAUCAAACAGGAUUAGAUACCCUGGUAGUCCACGCCCUAAACGAUGCUUACUAGCUGUUUGGAAGUAAUUCUGGGCGGCCAAGCGAAAGCGAUAAGUAAGCCACCUGGGGAGUACGCCCGCAAGGGUGAA
rnacentral:rRNA from 1 species